rnacentral:lncRNA from 1 species
GUUUUAUGGCAAAAAUGUGUUCAGCCUUUCCUACCCAUUUCAAUGUAUUUUCUCAUUUGCCUGAUAUAUGGGAGUAACUCAUCUAGUUUCUAAAUCUUUUCCACAGGCAGUUGCUCCUUGUAUAGCUGUAUAUUUGGUAUAUUUAUAGGAGGAGCAAAGCUCAGGAGCCUCCUAUGUUACCAUCUUGAUUGAUUCUCUGUUUUGAUUCUGUUCUCCUGAAGUACUGAAGUCACCAUGGUUGGAAACAGGAAGAAUGGUGACAGUGAAGUCGGUAUACAUCAGAGGAACACAGACCCUGGCAUCCUUUUCUGCCUCAUGAGCACUCAGAUAUCACAGGUCAAGAUCACUAUGCCCUUGGUGCUCAGUGGGAAAAUGGUGUAAGCUAGAAGGUCUCCACUGACAAGAUCUGAAUGUUUUGACAGAUAUGAAUUUAUUUUGUCGAGAUUAUUUACUCUGAAGCCUCUGAUUUCUAAUGAUUGAGGUUGGAGGCUGAAUUCUGGUUGCAAGAGGAAGAGGAAGAGAAAGAUUUUUUUAGAAUUUACCAAAUGCUAAAAAUAAGGAGAAAUUCAAUUUAUGAACUGGGGGUAGAAAAGACAGACUGGUUUUUUCCUUAGGUAUUAUGUGUAGAAGUGACAAAACAGAAAGAAAUAAGAAAUAAUUACAGAAUAUUAUAAUUUGUUCUUAGCGGGGAAAACUGAGUAAUUCACUGAGAAACUGUAUUUGCUUCCAUUAAACCCACUUACCUUCCAGUCACAAUUGCUAAGCUUAGAUUCUCAAAAGGUAUGGAUGGAACUGGAGGGUAUUAUGCUGAGUGAAGUAAGUCAAUCAGAGAAGGACAAACAUUAUAUGGUUUCACUCAUACGGAGAAUAUAAAAAAUAGGGAAAGGGAUUAAAAGCUAAAAGAGAGAAAAUGAGUGGGAAAUAUCAGUGAGGGUGACAAAUCAUGAGAGACUCCUAACUUUGAGAAAUGAACAAUGGGUAGUGGAAGGCGAGGUGGGCAGGGGAUUGGGGUGACUGAGUGACGGGCACUGAAGGGGUCAGUUAAUGGGAUGAGCACUGGGUGUUUUAC